rnacentral:rRNA from 1 species
GCCAGACUCCUACGGGAGGCAGCAGUGGGGGAUAUUGCACAAUGGGGGGAACCCUGAUGCAGCGACGCCGCGUGGGUGAAGGAGCGUUUCGGCGCGUAAAGCCCUAUCGGCAGGGAAGAAGGAGGACGGUACCUGACUAAGAAGCCCCGGCUAACUACGUGCCAGCAGCCGCGGUAAUACGUAGGGGGCAAGCGUUAUCCGGAUUUACUGGGUGUAAAGGGGGCGCAGACGGCAGCGCAAGCCAGGAGUGAAAGCCCGGGGCCCAACCCCGGGACUGCUCUUGGAACUGCGCGGCUGGAGUGCAGGAGGGGCAGGCGGAAUUCCUGGUGUAGCGGUGAAAUGCGUAGAUAUCAGGAGGAACACCGGUGGCGAAGGCGGCCUGCUGGACUGCGACUGACGUUGAGGCCCGAAAGCGUGGGGAGCAAACAGGAUUAGAUACCCCGGUAGAG